rnacentral:rRNA from 1 species
UACCAGCACCCCGAGUGGUCGGGACGAUUAUUGGGCCUAAAGCAUCCGUAGCCGGUUCUACAAGUCUUCCGUUAAAUCCACCUGCUUAACAGAUGGGCUGCGGAGGAUACUAUGGAGCUAGGGAGGCGGGAGAGGCAAGCGGUAGCGUUAAGUGGGUAGGGGUAAAAUCCGUUGAUCCAUUGAAAGGACCACCAGUGGCGAAGGCGGCUUGCCCAGA